rnacentral:rRNA from 1 species
CAGCAGCCGCGGGAAUACGUAGGGUGCGAGCGUUAAUCGGAAUUACUGGGCGUAAAGCGUGCGCAGGCGGUUCGUUAAGACAGAUGUGAAAUCCCCGGGCUUAACCUGGGAACUGCAUUUGUGACUGGCGAGCUAGAGUAUGGCAGAGGGGGGUAGAAUUCCACGUGUAGCAGUGAAAUGCGUAGAGAUGUGGAGGAAUACCGAUGGCGAAGGCAGCCCCCUGGGCCAACACUGACACUGAGGCACGAAAGCGUGGGGAGCAAACAGGAUUAGAUACCCCCGUAGUCCCUGUCUCUUAUAC